rnacentral:rRNA from 1 species
UACGUAGGGACCAAGCGUUGUUCGGAUUUACUGGGCGUAAAGGGCGCGUAGGCGGCAAUUCAAGUCAUCUGUGAAAUCUCCGGGCUUAACUCGGAACGGUCAGAUGAUACUGCUUUGCUAGAGUGCAGAAGGGGGCAAUCGGAAUUCUCGGUGUAGCGGUGAAAUGCGUAGAUAUCGAGAGGAACACCUGAGGUGAAGACGGGUUGCUGGGCUGACACUGACGCUGAAGCGCGAAAGCCAGGGGAGCAACGGG